GAGUUUGAUCGUGGCUCAGAACGAACGCUGGCGGCAUGCCUAACACAUGCAAGUCGAACGCCCUCUUCGGAGGGAGUGGCGCACGGGUGCGUAACGCGUGGGAACCUGCCUUUAGGUUCGGAAUAACUUCCCGAAAGGGAUGCUAAUACCGAAUAAUGUCUUCGGACCAAAGAUUUAUCGCCUUUAGAUGGGCCCGCGUUGGAUUAGCUAGUUGGUGGGGUAAUGGCUCACCAAGGCGACGAUCCAUAGCUGGUCUGAGAGGAUGAUCAGCCACACUGGGACUGAGACACGGCCCAGACUCCUACGGGAGGCAGCAGUGGGGAAUAUUGGACAAUGGGCGAAAGCCUGAUCCAGCAAUGCCGCGUGAGUGGUGAAGGCCCCUAGGGUUGUAAAGCUCUUUUACCCGAGAUGAUAAUGACAGUAUCGGGAGAAUAAGCUCCGGCUAACUCCGUGCCAGCAGCCGCCGUAAG
rnacentral:rRNA from 1 species